UAGCAGGGAAAGCGAGCCCUAACCUCUGC
rnacentral:piRNA from 1 species